AUUGAACGCUAGCGGGAUGCUUUACACAUGCAAGUCGAACGAGUGGGGACGGGUGAGUAACACGUGGGUAACCUCCCAUCCGAGGGGAUAACACUUGGAAACAGGUACUAAACCGAUACUGAUGGAUGGACGCGCGGUGCAUUAGCUAGUUGGUGAGGUAACGGCUCACCAAGGCCACGAUGCAUAGCCGACCUGAGAGGGGGAGCGGCCACACUGGGACUGAGACACGGCCCAGACUCCUACGGGAGGCAGCAGUAGGGAAUCUUCGGCAAUGGACGAAAGUCUGACCGAGCAACGCCGCGUGAGUGAAGAAGGUUUUCGGAUCGUAAAACUCUGUUGUUAGAGAAGCGGUAUCUAACCAGAAAGCCACGGCUAACUACGUGCCAGCAGCCGCGGUAAUAC
rnacentral:rRNA from 1 species